ACUAAGUAAGAGCACAGUCAUUGGUGCUAUCAUUGGUGUAGUGAUUGUUACCAGUGCCGUUAUCAUUUUACUUUAUUAUUUUACCAAAUAUAGAAAAAAUAGAUUUACUUUUUGUCGAAAUCUCAAACGACGAACUUGGUCUUCGGGAUCUAACUACAGUCAACACAACCCACUAGAACCAGAUGAAACGGGUACCAGUGAUCCUCCUCCUAGGACAGAGAGACAGCUGUUUUCGAUCUCAGAUCAGCCGGAUGACGAUGGAUAUUUGUAUGAUGAGAUUUUCGAUGCUUCAGAAUUUACUGACGAAAAAACAAAAAGGUCAAUAAAAAAUUUGUAUACAGCAACACGGACACAUGAAGAUGUUCCAGAUCUGAAUCUCAGAAUUUAAAUGUACAGAAUAAUCAUACAUAUUAAGUUCAGAACUUUUUUUGGAUAUUUCUGAAUGGAAAGAUUUUUUAAAUAAGUGAGAACUGUUCCUGCUUAACGACAGAGUGAAUUCCAACGAGCACGUGGUGAAUGGAAGAUAUGUUAACAAACAAUGUUUUAGAACGGUCUAAGACCAAAUCCAAUGAAUAGUUUACUUACUGUGUGAUUUGUUCUGUCAAAAACAACCUAACAUGUUCAAUAACAAUUAAAAUUCAAUAUAAAUCCU